rnacentral:tRNA from 2 species
UCCCUGGUGGUCUAAUGGCUAGGAUUCAGUGCUUUGACUGCUGCGGCCCGGGUUUGAUUCCCGGUCAGGGAA